rnacentral:rRNA from 1 species
UACGUAGGGUGCGAGCGUUAAUCGGAAUUACUGGGCGUAAAGGGUGCGUAGGCGGUUCAGAAAGCAAGAUGUGAAAUCCCUGGGCUCAACCCGGGAACUGCGUCCGAUACUGGAAGGCUUGAAUUCGGGAGAGGGAUGCGGAAUUCCAGGUGUAGCGGUGAAAUGCGUAGAUAUCUGGAGGAACACCGGUGGCGAAGGCGGCAUUCUGGACCGGCAUUGACGCUGAGGCGCGAAAGCCAGGGGAGCAAACGGG